rnacentral:rRNA from 1 species
UACAGAGGGGGCGAGCGUUGUUCGGAAUUACUGGGCGUAAAGGGCGCGUAGGCGGCCCGCUAAGUCGAACGUGAAAUCCCCAGGCUCAACCUGGGAACUGCGUCCGAUACUGGCAGGCUUGAAUCCGGGAGAGGGAUGUGGGAUUCCAGGUGUAGCGGUGAAAUGCGUAGAUAUCUGGAGGAACACCGGUGGCGAAGGCGGCAUCCUGGACCGGUAUUGACGCUGAGGCGCGAAAGCUAGGGGAGCAAACGGG